CCUACGGGUGGCAGCAGUGAGGAAUCUUGGUCAAUGGACGAGAGUCUGAACCAGCCAAGUAGCGUGAAGGAUGACUGCCCUAUGGGUUGUAAACUUCUUUUAUAUGGGAAUAAAAUGUUACACGUGUGGGAUUUUGUAUGUACCAUAUGAAUAAGGAUCGGCUCACUCCGUGCCAGCAGCCGCGGUAAUACGGAGGAUCCGAGCGUGAUCCGGAUUUCUUUGGUUUAAAGGGAGCGUAGGUGGAUUGUUAAGUCAGUUGUGAAAGUUUGCGGCUCAACCGUAAAAUUGCAGUUGAAACUGGCAGUCUGGAGUACAGUAGAGGUGGGCGGAAUUCGUGGUGUAGCGGUGAAAUGCGUAGAUAUCACGAAGAACUCCGAUUGCGAAGGCAGUUCACUGGACUGAAACUGACACUGAGGCUCGAAAGUGUGGGUAUCAAACAGGAUUAGAUACCCCUGUAGUC
rnacentral:rRNA from 1 species